UGGAGAGUUGGACUAAAUCUCAAGAUCCCUUCAAGUCUAAAGAAGAUUCUACAAAUACUAACAACCACAAAAUGAAAGGAACGCAAGUCCAGUGGUGGAUUUUUUGCAGACUUUAGCAGGUUCUGGCACCAUGCUUACCCCUCAGGAAUGUGCUGGAUGAUUCUACCAAUAUUUGUGGUAAAGGAAUGUGAUUCAUGAAAGGAUGAACCUCCCUAGAAGGCUUGGUAAGCUCAAGGAUGCUCUCACACUUCUUCAAGGGGAGGAAAAGACAUGUAUUGUCACACUUGGUGUGCUGAGUUCCCCCGCUGUCUUUUAUGCUUGACUAGUAACAAGGUGGCCCACAUUAUACAACCACCAGCAAAUGGACUCUGUCUCCUGGACUUAACAGCCUGAAGUUUCUGCCAGAUUCACCCAUCAGAAAUAAUUUCUUAUUUAAAGCAAAUGUCAACAAUUCUCUAUUGAAGCUAAUAUCGUGAACUUGCAAAUGGAUGAAGACAAACUGAGGCACAGGAGAUUAAGUAAUUUUUCCAAAGAUUCAGAAAUAGAAAAUGACAGAACUUGGCUCCUUAACCACUAUGUAUUCUGACUACCUCCAACAAAUUGGAAGAUGGUGGCUUUUAGGGAACAAAGUUUGUCAUCCUGAUACACCAGGUCUUUAAUGAUGUCAAUAAAGAAACAACCCACCCUUUGGUUAAAAGACUCUGAGCCUUCAAGGACCACUGGUUGUCCAGAGGAAGCCAUGGUUAUUCUGGUGAAGCACGAGGCCACGGUUGUUUUGAUCAGCCACUCAAUGGAGGGUCCAAAGCUUAAGCAGAAUAAACUCAGGACAGACAGCACUGGAACUCUAGGAGUGUAACCUCACCAGCAGAUGAAAUUUGUUUUUACUGAUCUUUGACACCUGCCUGAGGUGCUACAAAUCUGCAUGUUUGUUUAAACUCCAACCAAACGCACUCAUAUUUAAGUUGGAAUAUCAUCACCAGGAUGUCUGGAAAUUCUUC